UGACGUAAACCUUCAGGUUUGCUUGAGUGA
rnacentral:piRNA from 1 species